rnacentral:rRNA from 2 species
UGGGGAAUAUUGGGCAAUGGGCGCAAGCCUGACCCAGCAACGCCGCGUGAGGGAAGAAGGUCUUCGGAUUGUAAACCUCUGUCCUUGGGGACGAAAAAAAUGACGGUACCCAAGGAUGAAGCCCCGGCUAACUACGUGCCAGCAGCCGCGGUAACACGUAGGGGGCGAGCGUUGUUCGGAAUCAUUGGGCGUAAAGGGUGCGUAGGCGGCAAAGCAAGUCAGAUGUGAAAUUCCCGGGCUUAACUCGGGGGGUGCAUUUGAAACUGCAUUGCUUGAGUGCAGGAGAGGAAAGCGGAAUUCCUAGUGUAGCGGUGAAAUGCGUAGAUAUUAGGAAGAACACCAGUGGCGAAGGCGGCUUUCUGGACUGUAACUGACGCUGAGGCACGAAAGCGUGGGGAGCAAACAGG